rnacentral:rRNA from 1 species
UACGGAGGGGGCUAGCGUUGUUCGGAAUUACUGGGCGUAAAGGGCGCGUAGGCGGCGCGAUAAGUUGGGCGUGAAAGGCCCGGGCUCAACCCGGGGACUGCGCUUGAUACUGUCGCGCUGUGAGUCCGGGAGAGGAUGGCGGAAUUCCCAGUGUAGAGGUGAAAUUCGUAGAUAUUGGGAAGAACACCGGUGGCGAAGGCGGCCAUCUGGACCGGCACUGACGCUGAGGCACGAAAGCGUGGGGAGCAAACAGG